rnacentral:rRNA from 1 species
UAGGGAAUCUUCGGCAAUGGACGAAAGUCUGACCGAGCAACGCCGCGUGAGUGAAGAAGGUUUUCGGAUCGUAAAACUCUGUUGGUAGAGAAGAACAAGGACGUUAGUAACUGAACGUCCCCUGACGGUAUCUAACCAGAAAGCCACGGCUAACUACGUGCCAGCAGCCGCGGUAAUACGUAGGUGGCAAGCGUUGUCCGGAUUUAUUGGGCGUAAAGCGAGCGCAGGCGGUUUCUUAAGUCUGAUGUGAAAGCCCCCGGCUCAACCGGGGAGGGUCAUUGGAAACUGGGAGACUUGAGUGCAGAAGAGGAGAGUGGAAUUCCAUGUGUAGCGGUGAAAUGCGUAGAUAUAUGGAGGAACACCAGUGGCGAAGGCGGCUCUCUGGUCUGUAACUGACGCUGAGGCUCGAAAGCGUGGGGAGCAAACAGG